AGUGAACGCUGGCGGUAGGCCUAACACAUGCAAGUCGAACGGCAGCACAGUAAGAGCUUGCUCUUACGGGUGGCGAGUGGCGGACGGGUGAGGAAUACAUCGGAAUCUACUUUUUCGUGGGGGAUAACGUAGGGAAACUUACGCUAAUACCGUAUACGACCUACGGGUGAAGGCAGGGGAUCUUCGGACCUUGCGCGAUUGAAUGAGCCGAUGUCGGAUUAGCUAGUUGGCGGGGUAAAGGCCCACCAAGGCGACGAUCCGUAGCUGGUCUGAGAGGAUGAUCAGCCACACUGGAACUGAGACACGGUCCAGACUCCUACGGGAGGCAGCAGUGGGGAAUAUUGGACAAUGGGCGCAAGCCUGAUCCAGCCAUACCGCGUGGGUGAAGAAGGCCUUCGGGUUGUAAAGCCCUUUUGUUGGGAAAGAAAAGCAGCAGGUUAAUACCCCGCUGUUCUGACGGUACCCAAAGAAUAAGCACCGGCUAACUUCGUG
rnacentral:rRNA from 1 species